GAUGAACGCUAGCUGGAGGCUUAAUACAUGCAAGUCGAGCGGGAUUGGUAGCAAUACCAUGAGAGCGGCGCACGGGUGAGUAACGCGUACACGACCUACCUCUGACAGGGGGAUAGCCCUGGGAAACUGGGAUUAAUACCGCAUAUUAUUCUGAUUAAUAAAGGAUUGGAAUGAAAGUUCAGGCGGUCAGAGAUGGGUGUGCGUCUGAUUAGCUAGUUGGUAGGGUAACGGCCUUCCAAGGCGAUGAUCAGUAGGGGGCGUGAGAGCGUGGUCCCCCACACGGGUACUGAGACAGGGACCAGACUCCUACGGGAGGCAGCAGUAAGGAAUAUUGGACAAUGGUGGCAACACUGAUCCAGCCAUGCCGCGUGAAGGAUGAAGGCCCUAUGGGUUGUAAACUUCUUUUGUACGGGAAAAACCUUCUUACGUGUAAGAAGCUGAUUGUACUGUAAGAAUAAGGAUCGGCUAACUCCGUGCCAGCAGCCGCGGUAAGU
rnacentral:rRNA from 1 species